GUGUGGAAAGUAAAAAGAGAUGGUUAGCACUCCCCUUGACAAGGACGGAAGAGAUCAAUCGAUCUUUCUAACACAUAUGGGCAUUGCUCUCUACUUAAGAGCAACCUAUUUUUUUUU
rnacentral:ncRNA from 1 species